rnacentral:rRNA from 1 species
UUAAGCGACUAAGCGUACACGGUGGAUGCCCUGGCAGUCAGAGGCGAUGAAGGGCGUGCUAAUCUGCGAUAAGCGCCGGUAAGGUGAUAUGAACCGUUAUAACCGGCGAUACCCGAAUGGGGAAACCCAGUGUGAUUCGUCACACUAUCAUUAACUGAAUCCAUAGGUUAAUGAGGCGAACCGGGGGAACUGAAACAUCUAAGUACCCCGAGGAAAAGAAAUCAACCGAGAUUCCCCCAGUAGCGGCGAGCGAACGGGGAGGAGCCCAGAGCCUGAAUCAGCAUGUGUGUUAGUGGAAGCGUCUGGAAAGGCGCGCGAUACAGGGUGACAGCCCCGUACACAAAAGCGCAUGUGCUGUGAGCUCGAUGAGUAGGGCGGGACACGUGGUAUCCUGUCUGAAUAUGGGGGGACCAUCCUCCAAGGCUAAAUACUCCUGACUGACCGAUAGUGAACCAGUACCGUGAGGGAAAGGCGAAAAGAACCCCGGCGAGGGGAGUGAAAAAGAACCUGAAACCGUGUACGUACAAGCAGUGGGAGCACAGGUUUACCUGUGUGACUGCGUACCUUUUGUAUAAUGGGUCAGCGACUUAUAUUCUGUAGCAAGGUUAACCGAAUAGGGGAGCCGUAGGGAAACCGAGUCUUAACCGGGCGUUAAGUUGCAGGGUAUAGACCCGAAACCCGGUGAUCUAGCCAUGGGCAGGUUGAAGGUUGGGUAACACUAACUGGAGGACCGAACCGACUAAUGUUGAAAAAUUAGCGGAUGACCUGUGGCUGGGGGUGAAAGGCCAAUCAAACCGGGAGAUAGCUGGUUCUCCCCGAAAGCUAUUUAGGUAGCGCCUCGUGAAUUCAUCUCCGGGGGUAGAGCACUGUUUCGGCUAGGGGGCCAUCCCGGCUUACCAACCCGAUGCAAACUGCGAAUACCGGAGAAUGUUAUCACGGGAGACACACGGCGGGUGCUAACGUCCGUCGUGAAGAGGGAAACAACCCAGACCGCCAGCUAAGGUCCCAAAGUCAUGGUUAAGUGGGAAACGAUGUGGGAAGGCCCAGACAGCCAGGAUGUUGGCUUAGAAGCAGCCAUCAUUUAAAGAAAGCGUAAUAGCUCACUGGUCGAGUCGGCCUGCGCGGAAGAUGUAACGGGGCUAAACCAUGCACCGAAGCUGCGGCAGCGAACGUAUCACUUAAAGCGAUUCAGCGGGUUACGAUUGACGGAGCGAAGCGACGUCAAAGCGUAUACAAAGUCGAGUCGGUUUAAGGAUACGUUCGUUGGGUAGGGGAGCGUUCUGUAAGCCUGCGAAGGUGGCCUGUGAGGGUUGCUGGAGGUAUCAGAAGUGCGAAUGCUGACAUAAGUAACGAUAAAGCGGGUGAAAAGCCCGCUCGCCGGAAGACCAAGGGUUCCUGUCCAACGUUAAUCGGGCAGGGUGAGUCGACCCCUAAGGCGAGGCCGAAAGGCGUAGUCGAUGGGAAACGGGUUAAUAUUCCCGUACUUGGUGUUACUGCGAAGGGGGGACGGAGAAGGCUAUGUUGGCCGGGCGACGGUUGUCCCGGUUUAAGCGUGUAGGUGUGUGUUCCAGGUAAAUCCGGUUCACUUUAACACUGAGGCGUGAUGACGAGGCACUACGGUGCUGAAGCAACAAAUGCCCUGCUUCCAGGAAAAGCCUCUAAGCAUCAGGUAACAUCAAAUCGUACCCCAAACCGACACAGGUGGUCAGGUAGAGAAUACCAAGGCGCUUGAGAGAACUCGGGUGAAGGAACUAGGCAAAAUGGUGCCGUAACUUCGGGAGAAGGCACGCUGACACGUAGGUGAAGUGAUUUACUCACGGAGCUGAAGUCAGUCGAAGAUACCAGCUGGCUGCAACUGUUUAUUAAAAACACAGCACUGUGCAAACACGAAAGUGGACGUAUACGGUGUGACGCCUGCCCGGUGCCGGAAGGUUAAUUGAUGGGGUCAGCGCAAGCGAAGCUCCUGAUCGAAGCCCCGGUAAACGGCGGCCGUAACUAUAACGGUCCUAAGGUAGCGAAAUUCCUUGUCGGGUAAGUUCCGACCUGCACGAAUGGCGUAAUGAUGGCCAGGCUGUCUCCACCCGAGACUCAGUGAAAUUGAACUCGCUGUGAAGAUGCAGUGUACCCGCGGCAAGACGGAAAGACCCCCGUGAACCUUUACUAUAGCUUGACACUGAACAUUGAGCCUUGAUGUGUAGGAUAGGUGGGAGGCUUUGAAGCGUGGACGCCAGUCUGCGUGGAGCCGACCUUGAAAUACCACCCUUUAAUGUUUGAUGUUCUAACGUGGACCCGUAAUCCGGGUUGCGGACAGUGUCUGGUGGGUAGUUUGACUGGGGCGGUCUCCUCCUAAAGAGUAACGGAGGAGCACGAAGGUUGGCUAAUCCUGGUCGGACAUCAGGAGGUUAGUGCAAUGGCAUAAGCCAGCUUGACUGCGAGCGUGACGGCGCGAGCAGGUGCGAAAGCAGGUCAUAGUGAUCCGGUGGUUCUGAAUGGAAGGGCCAUCGCUCAACGGAUAAAAGGUACUCCGGGGAUAACAGGCUGAUACCGCCCAAGAGUUCAUAUCGACGGCGGUGUUUGGCACCUCGAUGUCGGCUCAUCACAUCCUGGGGCUGAAGUAGGUCCCAAGGGUAUGGCUGUUCGCCAUUUAAAGUGGUACGCGAGCUGGGUUUAGAACGUCGUGAGACAGUUCGGUCCCUAUCUGCCGUGGGCGCUGGAGAACUGAGGGGGGCUGCUCCUAGUACGAGAGGACCGGAGUGGACGCAUCACUGGUGUUCGGGUUGUCAUGCCAAUGGCACUGCCGGUAGCUAAAUGCGGAAGAGAUAAGUGCUGAAAGCAUCUAAGCACGAAACUUGCCCCGAGAUGAGUUCUCCCUGAGACUUUAGGUCUCCUGAAGGAACGUUGAAGACGACGACGUUGAUAGGCCGGGUGUGUAAGCGCAGCGAUGCGUUGAGCUAACCGGUACUAAUGAACCGUGAGGCUUAACCUU